UCAAAGAUUAAGCCAUGCAUGUCUCAGUACAAGCCAAAUUAAGGUGAAACCGCGAAAGGCUCAUUAAAUCAGUUAUGGUUCCUUAGAUCGUACCCACAUUUACUUGGAUAACUGUGGUAAUUCUAGAGCUAAUACAUGCAAACAGAGCUCCGACCGGAGACGGAAGGAGUGCUUUUAUUAGAUCAAAACCAAUCGGUGGCGGGUUGGUGACUCUGAAUAACUUUAAGCUGAUCGCACGGUCCUCGCACCG
rnacentral:rRNA from 1 species